UACAGAGGGUGCUAGCGUUGUUCGGAAUCAUUGGGCGUAAAGGGCUCGUAGGUGGCCAACUAAGUCAGACGUGAAAUCCCUCGGCUUAACCGGGGAACUGCGUCUGAUACUGGAUGGCUUGAGUUCGGGAGAGGGAUGCGGAAUUCCAGGUGUAGCGGUGAAAUGCGUAGAUAUCUGGAGGAACACCGGUGGCGAAGGCGGCAUCCUGGACCGACACUGACACUGAGGAGCGAAAGCCAGGGGAGCAAACGGG
rnacentral:rRNA from 1 species